GACGAACGCUGGCGGCGUGCUUAACACAUGCAAGUCGAACGGAAAGGCCCUGCUUGCAGGGUACUCGAGUGGCGAACAGGUGAGUAACACGUGGGUGAUCUGCCCUGCACUUCGGGAUAAGCUUGGGAAACUGGGUCUAAUACCGGAUAGGAGCCAUCUUUAGUGUGGUGGUUGGAAAGUUUUUUCGGUGUAGGAUGAGCUCGCGGCCUAUCAGCUUGUUGGUGGGGUAAUGGCCUACCAAGGCGGCGACGGGUAGCCGGCCUGAGAGGGUGUACGGCCACAUUGGGACUGAGAUACGGCCCAGACUCCUACGGGAGGCAGCAGUGGGGAAUAUUGCACAAUGGGCGCAAGCCUGAUGCAGCGACGCCGCGUGGGGGAUGAAGGCCUUCGGGUUGUAAACUCCUUUCGCUAGGGACGAAGCUUUUUUGUGACGGUACCUAGAUAAGAAGCACCGGCUAACUACGUG
rnacentral:rRNA from 1 species